AGUGAACGCUGGCGGUAGGCCUAACACAUGCAAGUCGAACGGCAGCACAGUAAGAGCUUGCUCUUACGGGUGGCGAGUGGCGGACGGGUGAGGAAUACAUCGGAAUCUACUUUUUCGUGGGGGAUAACGUAGGGAAACUUACGCUAAUACCGCAUACGACCUACGGGUGAAAGCAGGGGAUCUUCGGACCUUGCGCGAUUGAAUGAGCCGAUGUCGGAUUAGCUAGUUGGCGGGGUAAAGGCCCACCAAGGCGACGAUCCGUAGCUGGUCUGAGAGGAUGAUCAGCCACACUGGAACUGAGACACGGUCCAGACUCCUACGGGAGGCAGCAGUGGGGAAUAUUGGACAAUGGGCGCAAGCCUGAUCCAGCCAUGCCGCGUGGAUGAAGAAGGCCUUCGGGUUGUAAAGCCCUUUUGUUGGGAAAGAAAAGCAGCAGGUUAAUACCCCGCUGUUCUGACGUUACCCAAAGAAUAAGCACCGGCUAACUUCGUG
rnacentral:rRNA from 1 species